rnacentral:misc_RNA from 1 species
GUGAAUCAUCAAAUUUUUGAACGCAAAUUGCACUCUCUUCGGAGAGUAUGCCUGUCUGAGGGUCAGCCUAAAAAAAUUGACAUAGUUGCUGUUUCGCGGUGACAUUCGUCGGAAAUUGGGUCAUCUUAAACCUUUGGGUUUUAAGCGGCUUAAAAUUUUCUUUUGGUUUCAUUGAAGGGUUUUUUAGGUUUUAUUUUUUUACAGGUUUAGGUUAUAGAUUUUUAUUAGAGGUGACAUUCA